rnacentral:lncRNA from 1 species
ACCACAUAAGUUUCAGAAUACAGUGGCUCCUUAUCCACCAUCAUCCCUGUGAUAGCAGCUGAGACAGUCUUUGCAAAGGGCUUUGCAAAUUUCAAUCCAGAGGAUACAAAUAGAACAGUAGCUUGAGAAGUCCCAGCCUGACCCUGUUGGGCAUAUGCCAUUCUCUAGGUCCAUUCUUGAGCAAUUCAUUAUGGACACACUCAGAGAGGACUGCUAAUCCUGCAGAUUGAAGGACAUGUCUGCAGUUAGGAGCACUUUCAGGUCUGCUACAUCACUGCUCGGCAUAGGAAGAACCCUCUAACCUUAGCCCCCUAGAAACCAGAAAAGUUUGACCUGCCAUUUGGCUAUUGCUUUGUACUAACUGAUUAUCAUCUAUCUGACUCGAGCCUUUCAGGACAUUUUCAAACCUGGAUAAAGGUGUGUAGAGCUUGAACAAAGAUCUCUUUCCAGUAAAGGAAGAAUUAACCUAUGUCUGAAGAAUAUUGUGUAAUAUACUUGUGUAUGCACUCACACAUAUAUCUGCACACACAUGUGUGUACAUGUGAAAUAAUUCUACAGAAUUUCAGAUAUUUGUAUAUUUUUCAGGCAUGUUAUUACAUUGUUGUGGCUUAUGAUAUAUAAUAUCGUAAGUUAUUAAUACUGGCAUCCUAGUUUCAUAGAGGUUAAGAAACAUGAAAUUGUGACUUGUGUAAGUUCACACAAAUCUUGAAUGACACAAGUAAGAUCAACAUCUAGUUUUCUCAUCUAAUACAAUAUUUCAUAUUCUUUCUAUUAUUUGGUUCUGACUCUAAGUUAAACAAGAUGGAAAAAUGGGAGCAGGUAGGCUGCUAAUUAAAGCUUCUCUCUUCUUUCCUAUAAUGCAUUAUAGGCUACUUUAUCUGGCUUGUUUCUUAGAUCAGUCACUCUAAUUAGAGAUUAUACGUCCUCAGUGUUUACAUUGUAGAACCAGGAUUUUAACCAAGAUCUUCAGGACUUCCUGGAUAUAAUCUGUUCAUGACUCUGGGAGAGGAGUCCCUGGGAAUUCAUAUGCUUUGCCAACAAGGAGACCUGGCUUUGAACUCUAGAUCUAGUGUCAGCUCUGCUAACUGGCACAAGGUCCCAGGAACCUCAGUUUCUCAGCUGUCACAGUGACCCAACAAGAACCAUCUUGUUUAUGUUUGUAAAGGUGAAGGAAGGGUUAAAGGUGGGUCUCCAGCACAGAUUCAGACACAGUGGUCACUAAGUAACAUCUGCAGAAAAUCUAUAGAUUUUUCUGUUUACAUUUUGGCUGUCCUCUCUUUACAUUGCUAAGGUGGGUAUGAUUUGCCAAGUUUCACUUAGACCUAAUGGCCCAUUUAGAUCAAGUUACUGUCUGUAAAAACAGUUGACACCCAAAAGAGCAAUUUCGAGGAAAAAACUAAUACCCAAAGGGAUAAGUGAGAUUCCCCGAGGGCAAACAGUUUCUACAAUUCUCAUUCUUGAUUCUUCUGUCUAAACCAUACCUGACUUUUGCCAUGUUAUUGCUGCACAGAAGACCAGGGCAUAUAGCCUCUUAUGCUGCUUCCUGUCCUGCUCUCAGGAGAGUGUGAGUCAUGUCUCCCCCACUUGCCCCAUUCUGUCAGCUUGAGUAGGGGAUUUUCUUUGGCUUUUCCUUCUCCAAUGGAACAAAAGGAAAGAGUUGCUGCUGCUGUAGCUACUGGACUGGAAGAAAUCCUCCCGGCAUCCUGUGGUGGUUGAUCCUGACUGCAAAUUUGACUGGGUUUUGAAUCAACUAGGAAACAGCCUCUGGCCUUUUCUGUUGAGAAUUUGCUAAGAAGGAAAGGCCUGUCAUAAGAACAGAGAACCCAAAAUAAAGGGGUCUCUCUGCUUUUUCCUAUAUGCCUCCAUAUCCACUGAUGCUAAACUAGCUUCUUGGUCUUUCAGUGUGGGUUCCACAUAACUCUACAGAUAUCAGGCUUCCAGAGCCAGCUUGAAUUCUCUUAUGAGCCAUACUGCUAUCCUAUGUAGCUCCUAUGGUUUAAGUCAGUUAGUACUAUAUAGACUUAAAUGUAUAUGUACAUUGUAUCGGCUCUAUUCACCCUCUUUUCACCAUAGCCUGGAUAUCAUGUGGCUCUUUGUCAUAGUGGUGCUGUCAACAAUCUUUCAGCAAAGACAGAGACCACAGAGACAAUACCUAGCUUUAAGAGGAACACUGCAUUUCACAUUCUCUUUGCAGGUGUUUUGCAAGGCUGUGAGACCGAGAAUGAUUUCUGUUUCUUUUUGUUAUUUUAUACCUCAAAUUAUUCUUUUGCCUUCCUGUCCUAAAAAUAGAAUAACAUGCUCAAUUUUGUUCUUAACUCCUCUACUCUGAUACAGCCCCUGCAUUUCUAGGCCUUCUGUAUUUCCCUCCUCUGAUGCAUGUAACAUCUUGAUAAUCCCAACAUUGGAGUGGAGAAAUGGAAAGGAAAUAGCAUAAUAAAACACUUCUGUACCAU